AUGGGGCGCAACUUGGCGGCGGUGCUCGUCGUGCUUGCCUGCCUCGUUUCCCUCGCGUCGGCGCAGCAGGUCAAGACGACGGACACGCGGUGGAGCUACCGUCUGCCGCUGCCCGACGGCGUCAGCGGCGCCGAGAGCCUCGCGUUCGCCGGCAAGGACGGGGUCUACACCGGCGUCUCCGACGGGCGCGUUCUCAGGUGGGGCGGGAGCGCCGCCGGCUGGACCACAUUCGCUUACAAUGCCAACUACAGGAAAAUUCCUCUGUGCUCGGAUUCUGGGGUGCCGUCGGAACAAAAGGAGAGCAUAUGCGGGCGGCCGCUGGGUGUCCGGUUCAACAGGAAGACCGGCGAGCUCUACAUCGCCGACGCCUACUUGGGGCUCAUGAAGGUCGGCCCGGAAGGCGGCGAAGCCCAGGUGCUAGCGACGGAGGCGAACGGCAUCCCCUUCCACUUCCUCAACGGCCUCGACGUUGAUCAGGCGACCGGCGAUGUCUACUUCACCGACAGCAGCGCCAACUACCCCCGGAGGUUCAACACGGAGAUCAUCAUGAACGCCGACGCGACCGGCCGCCUGCUCAAGUACGACGCGCGCACGGAGCUCGUCACGGUGCUCAAGGCGGAGCUGCCGUACCCGAACGGCGUCGCGCUCAGCCGCGACAGGACGCACCUGGUGGUGGCGCACACGGUGCCGUGCCAGGCGUUCCGGUACUGGCUCAAGGGGCCCAAGGCCGGGCAGUACGAGCUCUUCGCCGACCUGCCGGGGUACCCGGACAACGUGAGGCGCGACGGGCAGGGCGGUUUCUGGGUGGCGCUCAACCAGGAGAAGGCGCGGCUCAACGCGACGGCGGCUCCGGUGAAGCACUUGGUCGGCGUCCGUCUCGGCGCCGACGGCGUGGAGGUCGAGGAGCUGACGGCCGCCAGGGGCGUGACGCUCAGCGAGGUGGCGGAGCAGAACGGCAACAAGCUGUGGCUGGGCUCCGUCGAGCUUGAUUAUAUAGGCCUCUUCGUUUGA
rnacentral:rRNA from 1 species